AGAACAUAGAGGUAAAAUGCAGUUUUUGGUUUAUAUCUCUGAAACUAAAGCAUUUAGAGCAAAUCUGACAGGUGCCAAAAAUGUUCAUCAGAUUUAGAUUUAUCUGCCCUGAAAUUUUCAGACAAAUCCGACGACCCGUUGUUGGGUUGCUGCCCCUGAGUUAGGAAUUUUACCAAAAUUUUGCAGUUUUUAUACGACCGCAAAAAAAUUUUUGUGGUCGUAUAUUGGUAUGACGUUGGCGUCGUCGUCGUCGUCGUCGUCGUCCGGCGUCGUCGUCGUCGUCGUCGUCCGGCGUCGUCGUCCGAAUACACAUUAGUUUUCGCACUCUAACUUUAGUUUAAGUAAAUGGAUCUCAUUGAAAUUUUACCAUAAGGUUCAAUACCACAAAAGGAAGGUGGGGAUUGAUUUUGGGGGUUAUGGUACUAACAGUUAAGGAAUUAGGGGCCAAAAGGGGCCAAAAAUAAGCAUUUUUGUAACUUCCAGACAUAACUUGUGUGUAAGUGUAUGGAUCUCUCUGACAUUGUACCACAAGGUUCCAUAUCACAAAGGGAAUGCUGGGAUUGAUUUUGGGGGUAAUUGUCUCCAAAUUUUAGGAAUUAGGGGCCAAAAAGGGGCAAAAAACAAGCAUUUUUCUAGUUUCAUGACAAUAACUUGUUUGUAAGUGUAUGGAUCUUUAUGAAAUUGUACUACAAGGUUCCAUAUCACAAAGGGAAUACUGGGAUUGAUUUUUGGGGUAAUUUCCUCCAAAUAUUAGGAAUUAGGGGCCAAAAAGGGGCAAAAAACAAGCAUUUUUCUAGUUUCAUGACAAUAACUUGUUUGUAAGUGUAUGGAUCUUUAUGAAAUUGUACUACAAGGUUCCAUAUCACAAAGGGAAGGCUGGGAUUGAUUUUGGGGGUUUUCCCUCAAAAUUUUAGUAAUUAGGGGCCAUAAAAGGGCAAAAAAAACAUGCAUUUUUCUAGUUUCAGGACAAUAACUUGUGUGUAAGUGUAUGGAUCUUUAUGAAAUUGUACUGCAAGGUACCAUACCACAAAGGGAAGGCUGGGAUUGAGUUUGGGGGUGAUGAAUCAUAAGGGGGUUCAAAAAAUUUGGGGGGGGGGGGAUUUUUUUUUUUUUCUUUUUUUUUCUUUUUUUCCUUUUUUUUUUCUUUUAAAAUUUUCCAUUUUAAGUUGGUUAUUUCUGAUUUAUAUUUAAAAGCAAAUAAUUAUGACAUGGUAGGAGAUACACACCAAACAGGAUGUGUAGAUUUUUAUAUAAUAAGUAUUGUGCAAUAGCUAGAAAUUUUCAAUUGCACAGUAUUGCACAAUAGCAAGAAAUCUUCAAUUGCACAGUAUUGCGCAAUAGCAAGAAAUCUUCAAUUGCACAGUAUUACGCAAUAGCAAGAAAUAUCCAAUAGCACAAUAUUGCGCAAUAGCAAGAAAUUGUCAAUUGUACAGUAUUGCGCAAUAGCAAGAAAUAUUCAAUUGCACAGUAUUGUGCAAAAGAAGAUACUUCUUAUAAAUUGCUUAUUUCUUGAUCAAUUUCAAUGGGGUUUUAUUCUUGAAUUCUUGGGGUUCUUUAAUAUGCUGAAUCUAACCGUGUAUUUAGUUUUUGGAUUUUGGGCCCCGUUUUUAAAUUGGUCCACAUUGAGGUCCAAAGGGUCCAAAAUUUAACUUUGUUUGAUUUCAUCAAAAAUUGAAUUAUUGGGGUUCUUUGAUAUGCGGAAUCUAACCGUUUAUUUAGAUUCUUAAUUUUUGGUUCCGUUUUCAAAUUGGUCUACAUUAAGGUCCAAAGGGUCCAAAAUUAAACUUAGUUUGAUUUUAACAAAAAUUGAAUUCUUAGGGUUCUUUGAUAUGCUGAAUCUAAACAUGUAUUUAGAUUUUUGAUUAUGGGCCCAGUUUUCAAGUUGGUCCAAAUCGGGGUCCAAAAUUAAACUUUGUUUGAUUUCAACAAAAAUUGAAUAUAUGGGGUUCUUUGAUAUGCUGAUUCUAACCAUGUAUUUAGAUUUUUGAUUUUUGGGCCCCGUUAUCAACUUUGUCCACAUUGAGGUCAAAAGGGUCCAAAAUUAAACUUUGUUUGAUUUCAUCAAAAAUUGAAUUAUUGGGGUUCUUUGAUAUGCCGAAUCUAACCGUGUAUUUAGAUUCUUAAUUUUUGGUUCCGUUUUCAAAUUGGUCUACAUUAAGGUCCAAAGGGUCCAAAAUUAAACUUAGUUUGAUUUUAACAAAAAUUGAAUUCUUAGGGUUCUUUGAUAUGCUGAAUCUAAACAUGUAUUUAGAUUUUUGAUUAUGGGCCAAGUUUUCAAGUUGGUCCAAAUCGGGGUCCAAAAUUAAACUUUGUUUGAUUUCAACAAAAAUUGAAUAUAUGGGGUUCUUUGAUAUGCUGAAUCUAACCAUGUAUUUAGAUUUUUGAUUUUUGGGCCCCGUUAUCAACUUUGUCCACAUUGAGGUCAAAAGGGUCCAAAAUUAAACUUUGUUUGAUUUCAUCAAAAAUUGAAUUCUUGGGGUUCUUUGAUAUGCUGAAUCUAACCAUGUAUUUAGAUUUUGGAUAUUGGACCAUAAUAGGUGAAUGUCCAAUUUAAAAUUUUUAAGUUCUUAGACCACAUUCAAUCUGUGUUAGAAACCUAUGCUGUGUCAAAUAUUUAAUCACAAUCCAAAUCCAAAGCUGUAUCAAGCUUGAAUGUUGUGUCCAUACUUCCCCCAACUG